GAACGCGAAGAACCUUACCAGGUCUUGACAUCCCUCUGACCGCUCUAGAGAUAGAGUUUUCCUUCGGGACGGAGGUGACAGGUGGUGCAUGGUUGUCGUCAGCUCGUGUCGUGAGAUGUUGGGUUAAGUCCCGCAACGAGCGCAACCCCUAUUGUUAGUUGCCAUCAUUCAGUUGGGCACUCUAGCGAGACUGCCGGUAAUAAACCGGAGGAAGGUGGGGAUGACGUCAAAUCAUCAUGCCCCUUAUGACCUGGGCUACACACGUGCUACAAUGGUUGGUACAACGAGUCGCAAGCCGGUGACGGCAAGCUGAUCUCUUAAAGCCAAUCUCAGUUCGGAUUGUAGGCUGCAACUCGCCUACAUGAAGUCGGAAUCGCUAGUAAUCGCGGAUCAGCACGCCGCGGUGAAUACGUUCCCGGGUCUUGUACACACC
rnacentral:rRNA from 1 species